rnacentral:misc_RNA from 1 species
GAUGAAGAACGCAGCGAAAUGCGAUAAGUAAUGUGAAUUGCAGAGUUCAGUGAAUCAUCGAAUCUUUGAACGCACAUUGCGCCCCUUGGUAUUCCGAGGGGCAUGCCUGUUCGAGCGUCAUUAUAACCCUCAAGCUCAGCUUGGUGUUGGGGCCUGCUGCACUGGCAGCCCUUAAAAUCAGUGGCGGCGCCAUCUGGCUCUAAGCGUAGUAAUUCUUCUCGCUAUGGAGUCCUGGUGGAUGCUUGCCAGCAACCCCCAAUUUUUCUAUGGUUGACCUCGGAUCAGGUAGGGAUACCCGCUGAACUUAAGCAUAUCAAUAAGCGGAGGA